rnacentral:lncRNA from 1 species
GAAGAGCUCACUCCCCUUAGUUUUUUCCAGGGAGUGAAACCAGGGUCAAUGGGAGGAAAUAACACAAGCAAUAAUGCCACGGAGGAUAGUGUUUAUCUGUUACUCUUGUGAGCCCACCACCAUCGUGGGGCCUACCUGCAUGUGUCCCCUUCCAGACUCAUGGAUAAUCACCGUGUCACUCAGUCUUGGCCCUAACUUCUCCUGCACAGCAAAGACUCCACAUCCAGGGCAUCAGUCGCUAAGUGGUCAAGCGCCCACAGCCCAUUUGCAAAAGCGCUUCCUCCCCAAGAUGCGCCCCAAACAUGAGGAGGUGGCGAUUCACGAGGCUCUUUCUCUGAGGCUCCUUCCUGACAGCCUGAAACUUCUCACCGAGAAGAUCCCGAAGGCACCUGUGUUCUAACUCUUCAGGGAGGCCGGGAGAGGACUCGGUAUGUCCUUAACAGCUGCAUUAUCCCUCCCCACAUGCUCAGGAGGAGACGUCGGCUCUGAGCAAUUUACUACAUCUCCCAGACAGUCUACCAUCUUCAUAUUUUGAAAGGCUCAGUCCCCUCUAAACAAGACCUUCCAGACACUACUGCUUUCCUCAUUAAUUAUAAAAUUCCUGCAAAACACUUUUAUCUCUUCUUCUUUACAAAAUGCCCCCGAAUCCCACAGUCCUAGGGUACUGAUUUCCAAGCGGUAAACCAAGACCUAUUAGUCAACAGGAGGAAGAUUUAGUAGUUUGUAAC